rnacentral:lncRNA from 13 species
AUGGUGCACAGUCCUGCAUGCAGGUCCACAGUGCUGUAUGAAUGGUGGACAGUCCUUCCUGCAGUGUCCAUAAUGCUACAUGAAUGGUGCACAGUCCUGCAUGCAGGGUCCACAGUAUUGCAUGAAUGGUGCACAGUCCUCCCUGAAGGAUCCACAGUGCUGUAUGAAUUGUGCACUGUCCUGCAUGAAGGGUCCAUAAUGCUACAUGAAUGGUGCACAGUCCUGCAUGAAGGAUACACAGUGCUGCAUGAAUGGUGCACAGUCCUGCAUGAAGGAUACACAGUGCUGCAUGAAUGGUGCACAGUCCUGCAUGCAGGAUCCAUAGUGCUGCAUGAAUGGUGCACAGUACUGCAUGAAGGAUCCACAGUGCUGCAUGAAUGGUGCACAGUACUGCAUGAAGGAUCCACAGUGCUGCAUGAAUGGUGCACAGUCCUCCAUGCAGGGUCCAGAAUGAUACAUGAAUGGUGCACAGUCCUGCAUGCAGGAUCCACAGUGCUGCAUGAAUGGGGCACAGUCCUGCAUGAAUGGUGCACAGUGCUGCAUGAAGGGUCCAUAUUGCUGCAGGAAUGGUGCACAGUCCUGCAUGCAGGGUCCAGAGUGCUGCACGAAUGGUGCACAGUCCUCCAUGAAGGAUCCACAGUGCUACAUGAAUGGUACACAGUCCUGCAUGAAGGGUCCACAGUGGUGCAUGAAUGGUGCACAGUCCUGCAUGAAGGAUCCACAGUGCCGCAUGAAUGGUGCACAGUCCUGCAUGAAGGGUCCAUAAUGCUGCAUGAAUGUUGCACAGUCCUGCAUGCAGGAUCCACAGUGCUACAUGAAUGGUGCACAGUGCUCCAUGGAUGGUCCAUGCUCCUUCAUGGCCACCCUCCUCACCCCGCUCAGGUUCCAGCAUCCAGCUGUGAGCCACCGUGGUGCUGCUUUGACCUCCUGUUCAGAUACCCAUUGUGUUCAGCCUUGCCUAAUUGGUUAGCACUCAAUUUUUGGGAAGAGCAUGAAGUCAGAGAAAGCAGAAGAGUGGCCAUCUUGACAUCUUACAUUAAUUAA